GUUUCAGGGCGGGGUGCGAUUCCCCACCGGCGGUACAGCCCGCGACCGGCUGCUCAGGCAGCCGCUGAUUCGGUGUGAUUCCGAAGCCGACGGUAUAGUCCGGAUGGAAGAAA
rnacentral:ncRNA from 1 species